rnacentral:lncRNA from 1 species
UGGAGGGAGAUCGUUAAUGGAUAGCUUGAAGAGGAGGAAGAGAGGAGGUGAUUAAUCAGAGAGAAGGGAGGAAGAGGAUGAGAAAGGGGGAGAGAAAAAGAAAAGGAUGAGAACGAGGAGGGGGGCUGCAUGGAAGGAGAUGGCUUAUAGACAGUUUGGAGGAAGAGGAGGGAGGAGAUCAAUAGAAGAGGAGGAAGAAGGAAGAAGGGAGGAAGAGGAGGAGGAAGGGGAGGCGAUAGAGGAAUGGGUGGAGGUGGAGGAAGCUCCCAUGGAGAAGAAUGGGUGAGGAGGAAAAAGAGGAAGAAAGAGGGAUAUCGCAAUAGAGGAGAAGGGGAUCAAUUAGAGAGGAGAAAGGAGGAAAGAGGGAGGAAGGAGAAGAAAGAGGAGGUGGUGGAGGAAUUGGUGGAGGUGGAGAGAAUCAUCGUGGAAGAAAAAAAAUGGAUGAGGAGGAAGAGAAGAAGGAAGGAGGAGGGAGAAAAGGGACGCUGACAAUAAAGGAUGAGGAGAUCAAUUAGAGAAGAGGGAGGAGGAGGAGGAAUGAGAGGCAGUGGAAAAAUGGGUGAAGGUG